AUUGAACGCUGGCGGCAGGCUUAACACAUGCAAGUCGAGCGGGGGAAGGUAGCUUGCUACUGGACCUAGCGGCGGACGGGUGAGUAAUGCUUAGGAAUCUGCCUAUUAGUGGGGGACAACAUCUCGAAAGGGAUGCUAAUACCGCAUACGUCCUACGGGAGAAAGCAGGGGAUCUUCGGACCUUGCCCUAAUAGAUGAGCCUAAGUCGGAUUAGCUAGGUGGUGGGGUAAAGGCCUACCAAGGCGACGAUCUGUAGCGGGUCUGAGAGGAUGAUCCGCCACACUGGGACUGAGACACGGCCCAGACUCCUACGGGAGGCAGCAGUGGGGAAUAUUGGACAAUGGGGGGAACCCUGAUCCAGCCAUGCCGCGUGUGUGAAGAAGGCCUUAUGGUUGUAAAGCACUUUAAGCGAGGAGGAGGCUACUUUAGUUAAUACCUAGAGAUAGUGGACGUUACUCGCAGAAUAAGCACCGGCUAACUCUGUGCCAGCCGCCGCCGUAA
rnacentral:rRNA from 1 species